rnacentral:rRNA from 1 species
UACGGAGGGGGCUAGCGUUGUUCGGAAUUACUGGGCGUAAAGCGCACGUAGGCGGCCAACUAAGUCAGACGUGAAAUCCCUCGGCUUAACCGGGGAACUGCGUCUGAUACUGGAUGGCUUGAGGUUGGGAGAGGGAUGCGGAAUUCCAGGUGUAGCGGUGAAAUGCGUAGAUAUCUGGAGGAACACCGGUGGCGAAGGCGGCGUUCUGGACUGCAACUGACACUGAGGAACGAAAGCCAGGGGAGCAAACGGG